AUUGAACGCUGGCGGAAUGCUUUACACACGCAAGUCGAACGGUAGAGGGGCAACCCUUGAGAGUGGCGAACGGGUGAGUAAUGUAUCGGAACAUGCCCAGUCGUGGGGGAUAACGUAGCGAAAGUUAUGCUAAUACCGCAUACGAUCUAUGGAUGAAAGCGGGGGAUCGCAAGACCUCGCGCGAUUGGAGGUGCCGAUAUCAGAUUAGGUAGUUGGUGGGGUAAAGGCCUACCAAGCCGACGAUCUGUAGCUGGUCUGAGAGGACGACCAGCCACACUGGGACUGAGACACGGCCCAGACUCCUACGGGAGGCAGCAGUGGGGAAUUUUGGACAAUGGGCGCAAGCCUGAUCCAGCCAUUCCGCGUGCAGGAAGAAGGCCUUCGGGUUGUAAACUGCUUUUGUACGGAACGAAACGCGCUGAGCUAAUACCUCGGCGUAAUGACGGUACCGUAAGAAUAAGCACCGGCUAACUACGUGCCAGCCGCCGCAGUAAGAC
rnacentral:rRNA from 1 species